CCAGUUUGGCCGAAAGGGUGCGUUGGGAGCGUUAGGGCGCGUCAGUGUCGACAACGCCCCCAAAUGGCACAACCGGGGGGGCUUUUCCCGAACCUUCGCGUUCAGUACAUUUUUAUUUUACAAAUCGUCUUGAACGAGGUUCGCUGACUAAUUAGGCCACGCCCACUCCCAAAGUUUUGAUAAAAAUGUAAAGUUUGUUUGAUGUUUUCGCCGCGACGAUUCGAAAUGAAACGAAGAAAUUAGCAGAAGUGAAGGUCACCGGAGAGGUGAAUGAGGAUUUUACCACUGGAACUAGAGAGCUUGGCUCUGACUGGUCUACUACAGCAAGGAAUGUGCCAGGGGCCAAUCUGAUGAACAUGUGGCAGAAGAUUUGGCAAUGGGUGAAGAAACACUGAGAUUGAAAUGCAACCACAGGUGGAGGCUUCACCCAAACUUUUCAGACGGAUGCGAGAUACAAAGUUACCCAAGUAUAAAUGGUUGGAAGGUUUUGGAGAGCCAGACAAGAAGGCAGGAAAUGUGAUGUCACUUUUACUUCAAUAAACAUGAACAGCAGCAGGAGCAACAACAGCAUCAGCAGCUGAAACCUCAACUGCAAUAAGAGAUGCAGCAACCGCACCGACAACAUCAAGAGCAACAGCAAAAAUACCUACAUGUAUUACAGCAGAAAUGCAACAAUCACAUUGGCAACAUCAACAGCAGCAGGAGCUCCAACAACCAUGCAGGGAACAUCGCGCGCAACAUAAAUAACUUCAUCAAGAGAUGCAACAACCACAGUGGUAAACAUCAACAGCAGUAGCGACAACGACAGUAGAAACAAAGCCAAUGUCAAGGAUUAAGCAAUCAUACAGGAAACAACACAAGCGGCAACAUCAAUAAAUGCAUCAGGGGAUGCAACAGCCAUACUUGUAAACAGCAGCAGUAGCAGCGAUGACAAGAGCAACCACACAGGCAACACCUUGAGCAACAUCAGUAGCAAUGCACCAGCAAUGAAACAAUCACACCAACAACACCAAGAGCAGCAGCAAAAAGAAAAUAAAUUCCAGCAACCAUGAUGACAACAGCAGCGG